UAACCUGCCCAAGAGAUCGGGAUAACACCUGGAAACAGAUGCUAAUACCGGAUAACAACAGAUGAUGCCUAUCAACUGUUUAAAAGAUGGUUCUGCUAUCACUCUUGGAUGGACCUGCGGUGCAUUAGCUAGUUGGUAGGGUAACGGCCUACCAAGGCGAUGAUGCAUAGCCGAGUUGAGAGACUGAUGGCCACAUUGGGACUGAGACACGGCCCAAACUCCUACGGGAGGCAGCAGCG
rnacentral:rRNA from 1 species